GCGGGCGUCGUACAAUGGUAGUACGAGUGCUUCCCAAGCAUUAGACGUGGGUUCGAUUCCCAUCGCCCGCUCCA
rnacentral:tRNA from 2 species